rnacentral:lncRNA from 1 species
GUCUGUUGCGCGCAGCGCCCUUGGCGGGCGUCCGGCGCGGCACAGGCUCGGGUGGCGGCGGCAGGUCGAGCGUGAGGGCCUCGAUGGCCACCUCGAUCGGGCGCAUGCGAUCCCUCAGACCCGAUGCGACAUCGGCGAGUUCGACAAACCGCGCGGCCCAGGCGCGCACCUCGACGGGCACGUCCUCUGUCGACCACGCAUAGGUCGACAAUGCGCUCACAGGUUCCUCGGGUUUGCCGUUGGCCUGGGCACUUUGUGCAUCUGGACACAAAAGAUCGCGCGUCUUGGUCGACGACGGCGACGCGUCCCACAUGUCGACCAUGGCCGAUUCGUCGUCUCGGUCGGGAUCGUACCGACCCACGGUGAGGCUCGUCUGCUGGGCCGUGGCACGACGCUGGGCGGCACGCGUGGCCUCGACCACUGCCGCGCCAAUGAUUUCAGCCAGUGCCGGCGUGUUGCCGAGAUGGGCAUCGCCGGCACCGUCGGCAUCAUCAUUCGUGGUGCUGGCGUUGACCGUGUUCUCAUCGGUCGCCACAGGAUUGAUGUCGACCAUAGAUGUUUUUGUAGGCGUGGCAUCGUCUUUGGUCUCAUUGUCCUUGUCAUCGUCUUCAUGCUUUGCCGUGCGUCUGCGACGCUUGGCCGGGCGAGCAGCGGCGGCUGCCGCACGGGCCGCCUUGCGCGCGGCCACAGCCUUGGUCUUGGCCACCUUGGCCGAGCGCUUUUCUGCCGCCGCGGCCGCCGCCUCGGCGCACGCGCGCACAAGAUCGGGUGUGACGUGCUCAUAGACGGCGGCCGUGAUCACCUCGCGCUUCAUCGACGUUGUGGGCCGCAUUGGAUCGACGCGCACGACGAUCGUGGCGUUAUCAUCACCAUCACCUCCUCCACAUUGGAUCACGGCCCGGCGUAUGCGUGCGCCUUCCAUGUAGGCGGCGAGGUCGCGUCGGAGCGCGGCCUGCUCAAGGCGUAUGCCGCGCGUGGCGGCCGUAAGCGGGUCCAGUUGCGCCCUCAGACGGCUCCAACGGGUGCAAAACAGGCGCACCGCCGUGGCCUGGUCGGUGCAGUCGGCCAGCAUAUCCGCUCCUGACACAUCCUCGGCCGAGCACGCUGCACCACCGUCGUCGGGCAUUUCAUAGACGGCCUCAUUGUCCUGGAGACCUCCAUCGCUGUUGCCUUGCCAUGAUGCAUGGUCGUCGCCGUUAUUGUCAUCACCACGUUGGUCGUCAUACUCGCCGUCCCCAUGCAGAUCAUGAUUCUGGUCCUGGUCGUAGAUCGGGUCGUCCAUUCCGUGGCGGCCAAGACGCAGAGAAAAAUAGUAGGCG